GGUUAAGUUAGAAAGGGCGCACGGUGGAUGCCUUGGCACUAGGAGCCGAAGAAGGACGGGACUAACACCGAUAUGCUUUGGGGAGCUGUACGUAAGCGUUGAUCCAGAGAUUUCCGAAUGGGGGAACCCACUAUCUUUAGUCGGAUAGUAUCCUUACGUGAAUACAUAGCGUGAGGAAGGCAGACCCAGGGAACUGAAACAUCUAAGUACCUGGAGGAAGAGAAAGAAAAAUCGAUUUCCUGAGUAGCGGCGAGCGAAACGGAAAGAGCCCAAACCAAGAAGCUUGCUUCUUGGGGUUGUAGGACACUCUAUACGGAGUUACAAAAGAAAGUUAUAAAUGAAGCGGUCUGGAAAGGCCCGCCAAAGACGGUAACAGCCCGGUAGUUGAAAUGGCUUUCCCUCCAGAGUGGAUCCUGAGUACGGCGGAACACGUGAAAUUCCGUCGGAAUCCGGGAGGACCAUCUCCCAAGGCUAAAUACUCCCUAGUGACCGAUAGUGAACCAGUACCGUGAGGGAAAGGUGAAAAGCACCCCGGAAGGGGAGUGAAACAGUUCCUGAAACCGUGUGCCUACAAGUAGUUAGAGCCCGUUAAUGGGUGAUAGCGUGCCUUUUGUAGAAUGAACCGGCGAGUUACGAUUUGUUGCAAGGUUAAGCGGAAAAAGCGGAGCCGUAGCGAAAGCGAGUCUGAAUAGGGCGCAUAAGUAACAGGUCGUAGACCCGAAACCAGGUGAUCUACCCAUGUCCAGGAUGAAGGUAAGGUAAUACUUACUGGAGGUCCGAACCCACGCACGUUGAAAAGUGCGGGGAUGAGGUGUGGGUAGCGGAGAAAUUCCAAUCGAACUUGGAGAUAGCUGGUUCUCUCCGAAAUAGCUUUAGGGCUAGCCUCGAGGUAAAGAGUCAUGGAGGUAGAGCACUGUUUGGACUAGGGGCCCUUCUCGGGUUACCGAAUUCAGAUAAACUCCGAAUGCCAUGUACUUAUACUCGGGAGUCAGACUGCGAGUGAUAAGAUCCGUAGUCGAAAGGGAAACAGCCCAGACCACCAGUUAAGGUCCCCAAAUAUAUGUUAAGUGGAAAAGGAUGUGGGGUUGCUUAGACAACCAGGAUGUUGGCUUAGAAGCAGCCACCAUUGAAAGAGUGCGUAAUAGCUCACUGGUCGAGUGACCCCGCGCCGAAAAUGUACCGGGGCUAAACAUAUUACCGAAACUGUGGAUGAACCUCUUCGGAGGUUCGUGGUAGGAGAGCGUUCUAAGGGCGGUGAAGUCAGACCGGAAGGACUGGUGGAGCGCUUAGAAGUGAGAAUGCCGGUAUGAGUAGCGAAAGAAGGGUGAGAAUCCCUUCCACCGAAUAUCUAAGGUUUCCUGAGGAAGGCUCGUCCGCUCAGGGUUAGUCGGGACCUAAGCCGAGGCCGAUAGGCGUAGGCGAUGGACAACAGGUAGAGAUUCCUGUACCAGUGCUAAUUGUUUAACCGAUGGGGUGACACAGAAGGAUAGGGAAUCGCACGAAUGGAAAUGUGCGUCCAAGCAGUGAGUGUGA
rnacentral:rRNA from 1 species